rnacentral:rRNA from 1 species
AUGCAUGUAAUCUCUCUCAACUAUCUCCAACAUAUGGAUCGGAAGGAGUACCUCAUUAAGAGCUUCAUACUAGAAGCACAUAUCCUAUGGGGAAACUGGAAAAGCAUAAAAAAAUACUACGAAGCUGCGGACAGUAACACAUAUAUUCAACACCACCACCGCCCCCUCCAACGCAGAGACUGCAACGAAACUCCUCAAGAGCAAACGAGUACUAGCUUUCUUCCUACCCCUGGUCUGUUCCACGGAGUUCGUCCACCUCCACUUCAAUUACACCAUCGACCCCUACACCAAGAAGGCAAGAACCACGCAGACUUGAAGAGCAUACUGGUGAGGAACCAGCCUGAGCUGCGAGUGCUGUCGAGCAGGGCGUUGGCGGUUCGACGCCCCGUCUUCUAUGACCUACCAGCUCGAGUGAUUUUAUGCCACCUCAACGUUCUCCCCUUCGGGGAGAAUUACGCCGAGCUUCUAGGAGAAGGUGGCCACCUCAACCUCCCAUUUGUACCGCUCGGGAGGGAGGCGGCGAAAGAGGGAGUGCGCCUUCUGGAAAGCUACUCAUACUCCCCCGGCGGGGACCUUGCACCGGCUAAGCGAGGUAUGGCCAGGUUCAUCGUCAUGAUAGCCGAAGCAGCCCGUUUCCUGCCCAUCAGCAACAGGUUGGCCGAUCACUGGGAGGAAGAGACCUACAUGCUCGAGGCUGAGGCAAACUUCUGUGUAAACUGGGGGAGAAUGUCGUUUUUACUUAUUGACUGGGAUAAAACAACCGGGCGUACAAGCUGGGGAAGUGGGCAUUACACAGCGGCUCAGGGGCUGGAGAAGGAAACAGGAAUUAAGAGCCCAAGGGAUGUUUUACGGGUGCUAGACCUGCUGCAUUAUAGUUAUAGUGUUAGGCAUCUGUUAGCGCCGCUCCCGUUCCCCUUCUCCUCCUCCUCCUCCUCCGUCCCUAGCCUGUUUCAUAUCUGA